AUUGAACGCUGGCGGCAUGCUUUACACAUGCAAGUCGAACGGUAACAGGGUGCUUGCACCGCUGACGAGUGGCGAACGGGUGAGUAAUGCGUCGGAACGUGCCGAGUAGUGGGGGAUAACGCAGCGAAAGUUGUGCUAAUACCGCAUACGUACUGAGGUAGAAAGUGGGGGACCUUCGGGCCUCACGCUAUUCGAGCGGCCGACGUCUGAUUAGCUAGUAGGUGAGGUAAAGGCUCACCUAGGCGACGAUCAGUAGCGGGUCUGAGAGGAUGAUCCGCCACACUGGGACUGCGACACGGCCCAGACUCCUACGGGAGGCAGCAGUGGGGAAUUUUGGACAAUGGGCGAAAGCCUGAUCCAGCCAUGCCGCGUGUCUGAAGAAGGCCUUCGGGUUGUAAAGGACUUUUGUCAGGGAGGAAAUCCCUAGUGCUAAUAACACUGGGGGAUGACAGUACCUGAAGAAUAAGCACCGGCUAACUACGUGCCAGCAGCCGCGGUAA
rnacentral:rRNA from 1 species